UGAAACUCUCAUAAAUGCCGAC
rnacentral:siRNA from 1 species